GGGGGCGAUCGGUUUCGACGUGGGGACUGAAGCCAGACUUGCGUGCGGUGGCGCCUGCCCCACUCCAAAAGCGGGCCGUAUACCUGCGAACGACAACGCACUCGUUCUCGCCGCCUAAGAAACGGCAGAACCGUCCAACCGCGAGGAAGCCUGCGUAGCGGAAGGGCGUCAACACGAAGGCUGGGUCACGCGAGGGCGCUCUCGAUAGCGUGACCGAGAUCAGCGGGAGCUAGGUCGCGGCCGAAUCCGCGAAGCCUGCCGGCGGGUCCCAACACCGGCUACGCACGUGAACGAGGGUCUCGUGGACGCCUCGCGGACCCGGGUUCGAUUCCCGGCGCCUCCACCU
rnacentral:tmRNA from 1 species